UGGGGAAUAUUGGACAAUGGGCGAAAGCCUGAUCCAGCCAUGCCGCGUGAGUGAUGAAGGCCCUAGGGUUGUAAAGCUCUUUCACCGGUGAAGAUAAUGACGGUAGCCGGAGAAGAAGCUCCGGCUAACUUCGUGCCAGCAGCCGCGGUAAUACGAAGGGGGCUAGCGUUGUUCGGAAUUACUGGGCGUAAAGCGCACGUAGGCGGAUUGUUAAGUCGGGGGUGAAAUCCCGGGGCUCAACCCCGGAACUGCCUUCGAUACUGGCAAUCUAGAGUCCGGAAGAGGUGAGUCGAAUUCCGAGUGUAGAGGUGAAAUUCGUAGAUAUUCGGAGGAACACCAGUGGCGAAGGCGGCUCACUGGUCCGGUACUGACGCUGAGGUGCGAAAGCGUGGGGA
rnacentral:rRNA from 1 species